CCGGCAAAACUUCUAAAAAAAGAAACGCUACCAAGCACGGUUUCCUUACAAAAUGUUUUGGCAAUAUGUAUGUCGUCACUUCCGUCUAGCCACAUUAGCCACAAUGAAAGCAAUGGGCAAAAGAAGAGAAGAAUUGAGAAAAAAAUUCUAAGAAAAUAAAGCUAUUGGUAGGUUAGUAAAUAUAAAACUUAUUUUCCUUUCCUGAAACAUGAUGUUUAUAGCACAGUUUCAUCAUGUAUUAACCUCACUUCAGUGAAUCUAGAAAGAUUUAUUUUAUGUAAGCUGCAGAGGAUCUCCUCUCCGUCAGCUAGGGUGGUGUAAACUCACCGCAGAAGCUUAAACCUCAAGGUAUAUGGCCACCUUUUUCUUCAUCAAAAACUUUUAGAGAAGUUUUCUAGAUCGAGCCACAACAGCAGUGCAGUUAGUGUUCGUCAGUAAUAAUCUCUGCUAUAACCAAUUUUGACUCAUGAAAAGAUCCAUUCAUAAGACUCUCCUCGAGACUUCAUUUUCCAGCUAGGAAAAUCCCUCAGCUGACAACACAUGGCAAAACCACCUUUAUUUCUCUCCAAGGAUUCUAGGCCAAAGUACCCACAGCCAAAGGCAACAUUCUCUGCAGGACUGAUGAGAGACACUGAAGCCUGAGAACUGUAACAGCCUCUGAAAGUCAUAAACUGACUGAUGUUUCAUCCCACAGGGAAAUGUGACGAAAUGCUCCCCAAUUUGCCUCUGAUGAGCUUACAGGGCCCUGUGGCGCCGCCUGCAGCCCCUCUGCCACAACAAAAGGAUGAGCUUGUUCAGGUGACUGAUCCAGGUGGGGGGUGGGGGGUAUAGCAACACCUUUGAAAUGGCCUUUUAGUGGAUUUCAUUCACAGGUAAAAACAAUGACAUCCAACCACUGCAGCAACACUAAAAGGCGCACAAAACUCUUCUCCUGAAGGCUGAAACCAUUCACUCAAAAAUGAAAAUCCACUCAUUGAGCACUCCUCUCCAUGCCAGUGGAAAGAGAGGUGGUGUUUCGUGGUCAACAAAACAUUUCUGGAAUUUCACAGCAAAACAGGGUUGCAGCAUUGUGCUGA